rnacentral:rRNA from 1 species
UGGAUGCGGGGGCUUCACCGCCUACCAAAUCCUGACAAACUCCGAAUGCCAGUAUUAUGUUUUGCAGCAGUGAGCCGCUGGGUGCUAAUGUCCGGCGACAAAAGAGGAACAACUCAGACCAUCAUCUAAGGCCCCGAAGAAUACACUAAGUUGAACUAACGAUGUGCGACUGCAGCGACAGCUAGGAUGUUAGCUUGGAAGCAGCUAUUCAUUUAAAGAGUGCGUAACAGCUCACUAGUCGAGCGGUUGUGCGUGGAUAAUAAACGGGCAUCAAGUGUAUCGCCGAAGCUAUGGACUCUACGGAGUGGUAGGGGAGCAUUCCAUCGACGCCGAAGCCGUGUCGUAAGGCAUGGUGGAGUUUAUGGAAAAGCAAAUGUAGGCAUAAGUAACGAUAAGGCGGGAGAGAAACCCGCCCACCGCAAGACCAAGGUUUCCUGAUCAACGCUAAUCGGAUCAGGGUUAGUCGGGUCCUAAGGGUAAGCCGUUAGGUGAUCUCGAUGGACAAUCGGUUAAUAUUCCGAUACCGAUGCAUACUGCGACGGAGGGACGGAGAAGCGUAAGCUGCGCCAACAUACGGAAUUGUUGGUUAAAGAGCGUAGGUAUAGGACGACGUUAAUAGCGACGUUUUGCUGAAACUCGACAGUACCGAGCGGCUACGGCCAAUCGGAUAGUCAGCCCAAGCAAGCUUCCGAGAAAAACUUCUAAGCUUCAGGUAUGCAUCGCCCGUACCGUAAACCGACACAGGUGGUCGAGGAGAGUAUCCUCAGGUGCUUGAGUGAAUCACGGAUAAGGAACUAGGCAAAUUGACCCCGUAACUUAGGGAUAAGGGGUCCCCACGUGAGUGGGGCGCAGCGAAAAGGUCCAGGCAACUGUUUAACAAAAACAUAGGGCUAUGCUAAUUCGAGAGAAGACGUAUAUGGCCUGACACCUGCCCGGUGCUGGAAGGUUAAGAGGGGAUGUUAGCGCAAGCGAAGCAUUGAAUCGAAGCCCCAGUAAACGGCGGCCGUAACUAUAACGGUCCUAAGGUAGCGAAAUUCCUUGUCGGGUAAGUUCCGACCUGCACGAAUGGUGUAAUGAUCUGGACACUGUCUCGUCCGUGAGCUCAGUGAAAUUGUAGUCCCGGUGAAGAUGCCGGGUACCCGCAACGGGACGAAAAGACCCCGUGAACCUUUACUGCAGCUUAACGCUGAAUUUGGGUGCAUGAUGUGUAGGAUAGGCAGGAGACUGUGAAGCGGUACCGCCAGGUAUCGUGGAGUCGCCGUUGAAAUACUGCCCUUUGUGUAUUUGAAUUCUAACCCUGUUUAGGGGACACCGUUUGGUGGGUAGUUUGACUGGGGUGGUCGCCUCCAAAAGCGUAACGGAGGCUUCCCAAGGUACCCUCAGCACGAAUGGUAACCGUGCGCGGAGUGCAAUAGCAUAAGGGUGCUUGACUGUGAGACAUACAAGUCGACCAGGUACGAAAGUAGGGUAUAGUGAUCCGGUGGUUCUGCGUGGACUGGCCAUCGCUCAAAGGAUAAAA